rnacentral:rRNA from 1 species
ACAGCAGCAGCCGCGGGAAAACGAAGGGGGCUAGCGUUGCUCGGAAUGACUGGGCGUAAAGGGCGCGUAGGCGGCUGACACAGUCAGAUGUGAAAUUCCUGGGCUCAACCUGGGGACUGCAUUUGAGACGUGUUGGCUUGAGUGGAGAAGAGGGUCGUGGAAUUUCCAGUGUAGAGGUGAAAUUCGUAGAUAUUGGAAAGAACACCGGUGGCGAAGGCGGCGACCUGGUCCUUGACUGACGCUGAGGCGCGAAAGCGUGGGGAGCAAACAGGAUUAGAUACCCGCGUAGUCCCUGUCUCUUAUAC